rnacentral:misc_RNA from 1 species
CGACCCUUAAGCCCUUGUUGCUUAGCGUUGGGAAUCUACGGCGUAGUUCCUCAAAGUUAGUGGCGGAGUUAGGGUACACUCUCAGCGUAGUAAUCUCUCUCGCUCGUGUGGUGGCCCUGGCUGCUAGCCGUUAAACCCCUAUAUUUUCUAGUGG